rnacentral:rRNA from 1 species
UACAGAGGGUGCGAGCGUUGUUCGGAAUUAUUGGGCGUAAAGCGAGUGUAGGCGGGAUCGUAUGUCGGGCGUGAAAGCCCUCGGCUCAACCGAGGAAGUGCGCACGAAACUGCGGUUCUUGAGUGUCGGAGAGGGUGACGGAAUUCCCGGUGUAGAGGUGAAAUUCGUAGAUAUCGGGAGGAACACCAGUGGCGAAGGCGGUCACCUGGACGAACACUGACGCUGAGACUCGAAAGCGUGGGUAGCAAACAGG